rnacentral:rRNA from 1 species
GUGUCAGCAGCCGCGGUAACACGUAGGGACCAAGCGUUGUCCGGAUUUAUUGGGCGUAAAGAGCUCGUAGGCGGUUCGGUAAGUCGGGUGUGAAAACUCUGGGCUCAACUCGGAGAGGCCACCCGAUACUGCCGUGACUUGAGUCCGGUAGGGGAGCACGGAAUUCCUGGUGUAGCGGUGAAAUGCGCAGAUAUCAGGAGGAACACCGGUGGCGAAGGCGGUGCUCUGGGCCGGUACUGACGCUGAGGAGCGAAAGCGUGGGUAGCAAACAGGAUUAGAUACCCCGGUAGUCC